rnacentral:rRNA from 1 species
CACGUGCUACAAUGGCAUAUACAAUGAGACGCAAUACCGCGAGGUGGAGCAAAUCUAUAAAAUAUGUCCCAGUUCGGACUGUUCUCUGCAACUCGAGAGCAUGAAGCCA